GUGAGCUGUUGCGGUGUGAGAUCCCAAGCCGCGUCCGACGGUGAAGGAGUGACGUGCUGACAUCACGUCUCCUCCCGUUUAACGCCGCCUUCGGAGCAGCGCUAACAGCACACAAAGCACUGCUGGGGAGAACCAAGCCAUGGAACGGCCGGAGUGCUGGGAGCGAGCAAACAACGUGCAGGACUUCAGUGCGGGGGGUGGGGGGAGAGGUGAAGGCUGCGUUGUAAAAUUCAGGGAAAUAAAAAGGAAAUUUGAAUGAACACCUGGAGCUGCAGCAAUCUUCUGCGUGCUGCAUGGGCUCUGCACACCGCUUUGGGCUUCAGCGCUUCACCAGCACAUCCACAGCCCUCCUGAGAGAAGGGAGCCUCCUCUUGCCCCACACUGUGACUUAAACCCGUGCUUCCCCUCGGCAGAAAGCAGUGCAAACUCAGACCAACCGUAGAAAUGUAUGUUUUAUUACAAAGAUUCUCAAAAUUUAAAAUAAAAGCAUCUUUAAAAAACCACAA